UACAGAGGUCUCAAGCGUUGUUCGGAUUCAUUGGGCGUAAAGGGUGCGUAGGCGGCGCGGUAAGUCGGGUGUGAAAUCUCGGGGCUUAACUCCGAAACUGCAUUCGAUACUGCCGUGCUUGAGGACUGGAGAGGAGACUGGAAUUUACGGUGUAGCGGUGAAAUGCGUAGAUAUCGUAAGGAAGACCAGUGGCGAAGGCGGGUCUCUGGACAGUUCCUGACACUGAGGCACGAAGGCCAGGGGAGCAAAACGGG
rnacentral:rRNA from 1 species